AUCGAUGAAGAUUUUUUGCAAUAGUAUAUAGUACUGUAACAUGAUUCCACCUUUCUUAAACCCAUAAACUGUGAUUAUUUUUUUUCAAUUUCUUGUAAAAAAAAUCUAUCACAUGAUUGAACAAAACAUAAGAUAACUUCUCAGUACGUAACAUCAACUAGUAUAUAUGCAAAGGCAUGUCCAAGAAUCUUGAUUUUUCCAUGUUGAAAAAGCAUUCAAAACUUAUCUAAAUAGAAUCGACACACAUGCAAGUUGAGAAAAACCCUAACACCCCCCCCCCCCAAAAAAAAAAAUAAUAAACAAAAUAAAAAAAAUAAUCCAUAGGUAUCUCAUCAUUCAUAAUUCCUAUAUGUUGUAAGAAUCUUAUCUACCACUAUAUAAAGAGGCUCCAUAACUGCUACACAUGCAACAACACAAAACCUUCUCCACAUUGUUUAAUUUUCUUGCAGAAGCAAAAUAAAAAUGGCAUCAUGGGCAGAACUCAAAAGAGCAGGUGCAGAUGGGUUUGCGAUACUGGAAGAGUACAUGGUGAGGCCAGCGGCGGCAACAAGGCGGCGCCCCGUUGCUCAGCAUGUCCACAGCCACGGCUGCUUGUACCAGCCAAACCAGAGCGUUGAGCAUCAUGUUAAGCCGCUGUCUGCGGUUGAUUAUGAGGUGGUGCAGCUCCGAGACACGCCGGCAGUGUCAAUUUUGGACUACUCAAAGAGGAAGUCUAGAGGUGUGGGCUAUUAGAGAGCUUGUCUUAGACAAAUUAAGCAUGUUUCAUUGUAAUAAUUAACUUGAGCAUGCUAGCUAGGGUUCCUAGGUACUGUAACGAGGUUUAUCCACAACGCACCUAGAUGUGGCGGCUGUGAGUUUCUACUCCUCACUUAAAAACAAUCUGAAGAAGUUGUAAUACUUUUUCUUUGUGUAAAUAAGUAUGGAAGUGCUUUUGGCAUUAAUUAAGCUACUAAUUAUGGGA